rnacentral:rRNA from 1 species
UACGAAGGGGGCGAGCGUUGUUCGGAUUUACUGGGCGUAAAGGGCGCGUAGGCGGCCCUCCUUGUCGCGUGUGAAAGCCCCGGGCUCAACCUGGGAAUUGCGCGCGAAACGGGAGGGCUUGAGUCCGGGAGAGGUGAGUGGAAUUCCUAGUGUAGAGGUGAAAUUCGUAGAUAUUAGGAAGAACACCAGUGGCGAAGGCGGCUCACUGGCCCGGUACUGACGCUGAGGCGCGAAAGCGUGGGGAGCAAACAGG